GGCGUUCACUUGGAUGAAUUUCUUGUCAGAAGACAUGUAAGGAUCAAAGUGUCAGAGACCUGACAGCAAGUACAGGUGAUUCGGAAUUGUGUGAGAAGAUAAUCUCAUAAAAUCAUGAGGAGAAAGUGCAUGUGACUGAAUGCAACUUUACAGAUGUCAUCUGAAAAGUUAUCUGGUGUUUGAAGUGCAGUAGAAAAUGACAGUAUUUAUAAAAUACAGCAUGUAAUGAUAACUACUACUUUCUGAGCAUAUAAUGCAAAAAAUACACUUUCAGCAGUUGCAUAGAAAAAACCAAGUGUGGGUCCUGUCAUCCAAAUAACCAUAAAGCUGUCAAUGGAAACUUUGCUUACUGUGCUUCUUGAUAGGAUUGUUUAUGGUUGACCACAUGGUCCAUUUAACCCAUUACUAUGUCUUGUGCUUGCUUCAUCAGAAGAGCUUGAGGUCAUGGACUAAAGAACACUUGUGCUUUGUAAGAGGAUAUGCCAUUAAACUUCCUCAAGGCUGACAAGUAAUUUCUAGUAUGGCUGAAUUUAAAUGCUUGUGAAAACUAUUCCCAUUUUCUUAUCAACAAAGCAUCAUCAUCAGCACAUCUCGAGGAUGAAAAUACAUUUGGAAGCAGCCACCAAAAGAGCAAUGCAACUGAAAUAUUCUCCUCAGGACAAUAAGCAAGCUCUUUAAAGUACCAGUUGACUGGGCUCUUGAGAAAUGGAGUGGAAUGGAGGGGAGUAACUGCAGAAACUUUAGAAAUAGAAGCUAAAGGUUGAGAAUUCAAGAGGACUGCAAAUAUGAAGGUGAGUAAAAAGAGCUGAGAGGAGUCUAAAAUUUCAGGAAAGGGAAGCAGGGGACCCAGGAGACUUUCAGACUGCAGCUGACAGAAUAAAGAUUAGGAAGGGCAGAAUAAAGAACAGGAAAGAACAUAGUAGAAAGAAUCAAGUUUUGGAAGUAGGAAAAAGAAUUUAUCCACAUUAUCUUCUGGAGUCUGCAUUUAGAGCUGGACAACAGUAGAUAAAUGAG